rnacentral:tRNA from 1 species
AGGAACUUAGGCUAAUUUAAACCAAAAGCCUUCAAAGCUUUAAAUAAAAGUGAGAAUCUUUUAGUUCCUG